UGAGGAAUAUUGCGCAAUGGGGGCAACCCUGACGCAGCAACGCCGCGUGAGUGAGGAAGGUUUUCGGACCGUAAAGCUCUGUCGAGCGGGAAGAAAUGUAUCGUGGCUAAUAUCCAUGAUAUUUGACGGUACCGCUAAAGGAAGCACCGGCUAACUCCGUGACAGCAGCCGCGGUAAUACGGGGGGUGCAAGCGGUGUUCGGAAUUAUUGGGCGUAACGAGCGUGUAGGCGGCUGAAUAAGUCAGAUGUGAAAUCCCUGGGCGUAACCCAUGAAGUGCAUUUGAAACGAUUCAGCUUGAGUAGGGGAGAGGAAAUUGGAAUUCCGGGUGUAGAGGUGAAAGUCGUAGACAUCAGGAGGAACACCGGUGGCGUAGGCGACUUUCUGGCCAUAUACUGACGCUGAGACGCGAGAGCGUGGGUAGUAAACA
rnacentral:rRNA from 1 species